rnacentral:rRNA from 1 species
AAUCAACGCUGGCGGCGUGCCUCAGACAUGCAAGUCGAACGAUUAAGACUUCCUUCGGGAAGUGCAUAAAGUGGCGCACGGGUGAGUAACACGUAAGUAAUCUACCCUCGAGUGGGGAAUAACGUUCGGAAACGGACGCUAAUACCGCAUAAUGCAGCGGCAUCGCAAGAUGACAGUUGUUAAAGGAGUAAUUCGCUUGAGGAGGAGCUUGCGGCAGAUUAGCUAGUUGGUAAGGUAACGGCUUACCAAGGCUACGAUCUGUAUCCGGUCUAAGAGGACGGUCGGACACACUGACACUGAAUAACGGGUCAGACUCCUACGGGAGGCAGUAGUCGGGAAUUUUGGGCAAUGGGCGAAAGCCUGACCCAGCAACGCCGCGUGAAGGAUGAAGUAUUUCGGUAUGUAAACUUCGAAAGAAUGGGAAGAAUAAAUGACGGUACCAUUUAUAAGCUCCGGCUAACUACGUGCCAGCAGCCGCGGUAACAC